rnacentral:rRNA from 1 species
GCUCCGCUGACGAGUGGCGAACGGGUGAGUAAUAUAUCGGAACGUACCCAAGAGUGGGGGAUAACGUAGCGAAAGUUACGCUAAUACCGCAUACGAUCUAAGGAUGAAAGCAGGGGAUCUUCGGACCUUGUGCUCCUGGAGCGGCCGAUAUCUGAUUAGCUAGUUGGUGAGGUAAAGGCUCACCAAGGCGACGAUCAGUAGCUGGUCUGAGAGGACGACCAGCCACACUGGAACUGAGACACGGUCCAGACUCCUACGGGAGGCAGCAGUGGGGAAUUUUGGACAAUGGGCGCAAGCCUGAUCCAGCAAUGCCGCGUGAGUGAAGAAGGCCUUCGGGUUGUAAAGCUCUUUUGUCAGGGAAGAAACGGUGGAGGCUAAUAUCCUUCGCUAAUGACGGUACCUGAAGAAUAAGCACCGGCUAACUACGUGCCAGCAGCCGCGGUAAUACGUAGGGUGCAAGCGUUAAUCGGAAUUACUGGGCGUAAAGCGUGCGCAGGCGGUUUUGUAAGUCUGUCGUGAAAUCCCCGGGCUCAACCUGGGAAUUGCGAUGGAGACUGCAAGGCUAGAAUCUGGCAGAGGGGGGUAGAAUUCCACGUGUAGCAGUGAAAUGCGUAGAGAUGUGGAGGAACACCGAUGGCGAAGGCAGCCCCCUGGGUCAAGAUUGACGCUCAUGCACGAAAGC